rnacentral:rRNA from 1 species
UUUGAGAGUUUGAUCCUAGCUCAGGAUGAACCCUGCCUGCCGGCAGGCAGGGCUUGAGAGUUUGAUCCUAGCUCAGGAUGAACGCUGGCGGCGUGGAUAAGGCAUGCAAGUCGAACGAUCAUUCGCUUCGCUCAUUGUAGAGUGGUAGUGGCGAACGAGUCAGUAACACCUUGGUUACGUACCCCGAAGUGGAGCAUAGCCAGCCGAAAGGUUGGGUAAUUCUCCAUAAUCCCGCAAGGGUAAAGUCGCAAGACGCUUUGGGAUCGGCCUAGGCCCGAUCAGCUUGUUGGUGAGGUAACGGCUCACCAAGGCUACGACCGGUAGGGGUGCUGAGAGGCAGUUCCCCGACGACGAGACUGAGACACGGCUCGUACACCUACGGGUGGCAGCAGUCGAGAAUAUUCCACAAUGGGCGAAAGCCUGAUGGAGCGACGCCGGAUGAUAUAGUCCAAUUAGUUCGCCAAAAACUUUGGCGGGCCAGCAGCAGCGGUAAUACAGAGACCUCGAGCGUUGUCCGGAUUUAUUGGGCGUAAAGGGCGCGUAGGAUUCUCUUUGCAUCUCCAGUCAAAUAUUGAGGCUUAACCUCAAAACCGCUGGAGAGAUGAAAGAGAUUGAGGGUGCCAGAGGCAAGCGGAACGCACGGUGUAGGGGUGAAAUCCGUUGAUAUCGUGCGGAACACCAUAGGCGAAGGCGGCUUGCUGGGGCAUUCCUGACUCUGAGGCGCGAAAGCGUGGGGAGCAAAAAGGAUUAGAUACCCUUGUAGUCCACGCCCUAAACUAUGUUCGCUGGCUGUCGGGAGUAUCGACCCUCUCGGUGGCGAAGCUAACGCGUUAAGCGAACCGCCUGGGAAGUACGGCCGCAAGGCUAAAACUCAAAGGAAUAGACGGGGACUCGCACAAGCGGUGGAGCAUGAGGUUUAAUUCGAUGGUAAGCGAAACACCUCACCAGGGCUUGAAAUCCCAACGACGUCUCGCCGAAAGGCGUGAUUCUCCAGGUUUACUUGGAGCGUUGGGGCAGGUGUUGCACGGUUGUCGUCAGCUCGUGGCUUGAGUUGUUCCCUUAAGUGGGUCAACGAGCGCAACCCCUGUUGCCUGUUACAAGUGUCAGGCGCCAAAAGAGCUGGGAGGAAGGAGGGGAUGACGUCAAAUCAGCGUGACCCUUUGAUGCCCUGGGCGACACUCAUGCUACAAUGGCAGGUACAAUGGGUAGCCAAGCCGUAAGGCGGAGCCAAUCCCAUCAAAACUUGCCCCAGUUCGGAUUGGAGUCUGCAACUCGACUCCAUGAAGCCGGAAUCGCUAGUAAUCGCGGAUCAGCACGCCGCGGUGAAUACGUUCUCGAGUCUUGUACUCCGCCCCGACGUCAAGUCGGGGAGCUGAUAUAGAUUUAUCUAUCAUCAGCUUGGGAACUCGAAAUCGACCUAUGAUUAUCGAAAUCCGCCCGUCAUACCAAGGGAGCCGGUAAUGGGUGAAGUCCCGCCCUUUUGGUACGAAAUUCGCGCCAAAAGGGCGGGAUCAGCCCAAGAUCGGUGACACGGGUAAAGUCGUAACAAGGCACGUGUAGCGGAAGCUGUGCGUGAAACA